UACAGAGAGCACAGCUGCUGUUAGCAUCGCCUCGGGUCCAGUACACCCACAUCGCUACAAGCGUGCAGGAUCAGACAGUGAUCGUUUCUGCCUAGGUGUAUUCGAGCAAAGAGGAACUGAAGGAGGAGAAGGAACAAGGAGGCUCCGGGUCAGGAGCAGCAGCAGCACUGAGCUAGGUGGACUGGGUGCUACGUAGGCCUCGGGUUGGCCGUUUCACAAUACACUAACUCUCCCUCGCUUUAGUCAGUGGUGGUGCCUACAUCCAGACGAAAUGAAGGGGGCUAACGAAGGUCAGGCAGAAGGGGGCAUAUUCAUACUCCUGAUUUACAUCCUCAUCCGCGUCUCUGAGGAGGCUGUGUUCUGCUUUCGGGAAGUGAUUCCCGGUAUACUUGUAAUAUCCCAGAGAAUAUACCUAGCUAUGGGCCACCGUGACCUCCUGUACUCCAUUUCGGCCCCCAGAUUUCUAUGGCAAAGACCAGUCAGACCCUAAAUAGCAUGGCUGCAAUAGUUAAAGAUUUAUCCCUUGUAAUGGAA
rnacentral:lncRNA from 1 species